GUACUUUCCUCGCUGUUUCAAUCCUGUAAUUUAAUACCACAAAAGGGAAAGCAGAACGACACCCCCAGCACAGGAAACUCGGUUGUGUGGCAUCGUGGUGACACCCCAGUGAGUCAUCAUCUGAGCUGCUGCCAUGGGGUUCCGCACUGACCUCUGUGACCUCCUGAGCCAGCAGAGGAACAGCAAGCAAAGCUCUUCCGCUUCCUCGGCCAGCCCAACAUGGGCAGGGAGUGCUUUGCCCACAGAUUUGCAGAGGAAAGGUGUUGCUGUGCCAGGGAAUCUACUGUCUCCCAUUCUGGUGACACUCCAGCUGCUAAAGAGAUGUCCUUGUAUUCAGCAGGCUGAGGACGCACAGCAGUGACUUUAAACCAUGUGGCUCUGCAGGCCACCCUGCAGACAGAGCCCAAGGCUCUGCGUGUUGCAGUGGUGACCAGGGGCUGCUCGAGCAGCAAGGUUUGGCCAAGUGUCCUGAUUGUCACCUGCUGUGGUGACACACACGCUGGCCUGCUGGAGACUUGGGCUCAGCCACUUCCUGGGCAGGCUUUGCCAAGCACAGGCAGCUGAUGAGCCCAGCCUGAACCAGCCGCGAGAGCCCCACACAAUGCUCCGGCUGCUGGGAAUUACUUAAAGUCCCUUCUGGCUGCUCCACAGGACUGGGCUGGAAAAAGGGAUUUAUUGUUAUUGUUGGUAUCAUUAUCUGAGCGAACAUGCUGGUGUGAGGUCCCCACUCACUGCUUUUAUUGUCCUUCACAAGGAAGUCAGCCAUGGAGCCGGCUCCUUCCUGGCCAGCCAAGACUUCCCUGUGCCCACAGGAGCGGAGCAGCCACUAGGCCGGAUCCCGCGGCCCUCGGAUUGCUGCCCCAGCCCGGCACCUGCGGCUCACUGGCCCGUGUCCCCAGCUGCCUGGCCCAGGGAAAUGGGACAGGACAUUUGCAUGCUGGCAGCUGGGGAGCACUGGGGGAACUGGUCUCUGCCCAGCACUCCCAGUGCUGCCACCUGGGAUAUAAUCGCGGAGAAGGAAACCCUUACGGCUGGACGCUGGCUGGAAGCAGCUUUGUGAAUGAAACAUUGGCAGCUGAACCAACUGGCAAAUUCAGACAACUAACAGAGUUUCUUAAGUGUGUACUCAGUCAAUGAGCUCAAGAGCUAAUGCUCAAAGAGGAGGACUUACUGGGAAAUAAAAGGAAGAGCUCAAUAAGGAUUUAUGACCCUCUGUCUGGUGAGGUUGAAGGCUGAUCUGAGGCAAUAGUGACAGGUAUGCUAUUAUCAUAUGCCAAAUAGUUAAUAUUUUGCUGGAACAAGUUUGAUAGUGACAGUUGACUUCCCCCAGGGCAAGUGGCCUCUUAUGGAUGUUAUCUUCACUGUCAGCCUUGUUGGAUGUCUUGAAGGACAAGCUGAGACCUAAUUGGGAGCUGGAUAGCAAAGGGCUCAUGCAUAGGGAUGAGCCCUGGCUGUGGGUAGGUGGGAUAAGGAAACCUGGUGUUAUGAGUUCCAGGCUGUAUGUGUUAUGGGGUAAUUAGAAGAUUUCAAUCUUCAGGGGUGCACAAACUCUGUUAUCCAAACAGUCAUUGCCUGAAUUAUUCACAACCCAUUAAAAAAGAUAAGGAAAUUAAAUAUAAGAUAUAUGCACAUAAAUCAUUGUGAGUUCUUCCCAGUACCUGCUGUGGUCAAGAAUGAAACCUAGCAUCCAUUACUAUCUCCCUUUCUCACCCCUUUCUAACUUAUAAAAUAAAAUGAAAAGUGAAAUAUCAAUUUUGGAGCAAAUAUAUAUGAGUUGGUCACUCUUCAAGAUUAAUAUUAUGGAGGAGAUUGACUAUCACCUUUAUGCCUUCACCCAUAAGUGAUUUUUUGUGGUUUUUUUUCCCUUUAAAAAGAAAAUUAACAGAGAAAUUAAAUGCAAAAUGUGCGAGUGCACAAGUUUCAGGAUAUGUCAAAGACAAGUUUCUAAUCACCUCAUUGUGGAACACUAGGGUUAAUAUAAACUUACAUAAAAUAUUUUCUCUAGUUUAACUCACACCUUGCAGACUAUCCAGGAACCAGGUUUUCAGAGUCAGUAAUAUCUCAGUUGAAAGGAGAACAGAAACUGCAAAAUGGCAACGAUUCUGGAAAAAAAUCUGGCCUCUUUUCAAUGCAGUGCUAUGCCAUAAAUCCAGUGCCUACCUGGAGGAUGUUAGAGGAUGCAGGGUCACAGACCAAAUGAACUUCAAAAAUAUACUGUGCAAUAAUCUUCUCACAGUAAAAUGUAUGUCUAACAAGUGUUUUGUUGCUAUUAAGAAAUUGGUAAAUUAAAAUAAGAGAAAAAACUGUAAUUGUUGCUAUAAAAGAGAUCCUAGCAUCAAAGAAGGCUCAGGAUCUGGGAUUUGGCUCAGAUCCUAAAGACAGUCAAAAAAGCUCUGUGGAUGGCUUAGUAAAUUCCUAGGCAUCAGCAGUAUUUGUAGGCAACCAGAUUGGUGGAUUCAAUGUAUGUACAUAUUUUAUGAUACGGAAAUAUUGCAAAAUCAUUUUACAUGGCUUGAUCCUCAUGGCUGUGAUAUGAUACUUUCAUGGAUGGCUAAAUGGGUGCACCCUUUUUGACCCAGUGAAAUAGUGAAGGUGCUUACUAGUGUUUGGAUUAGCUCCUAGAAAUACUGUAUCCCCUCAAGUAUAAUUUAUGUUAACAGCUGAUGUGAACACUGAGUACUGGGAGCUGCAUGAUGAGGCCGGUAUUACCAGGUGCUCUGCAAUCCUAUGAGGUGCUGAGAGAUUUCUAGUGAAGUCAGAGAGAGGGAGACUGUCAGCCUCUGGCUGGCUUGAGGCUUUGCAGAACACAAAUUAGGUCCUAUCUACUUCUCUGCACUUUAGCUGGAAAUGCUCACUCUUUCAUGCUGGCUAGUUAUUGCUCUGCUUUAUUACAGCUUAUGAGAAACUAACAGAGUAAUAAGAGUCAGGGUUUUUUAUAAUCGUGUUGGAGUAGUGAUUUAACAGGACAUCAUGUUUUUCUGGAGAGAUUUUACAAAGCUUGUUUUAGUAAUUUGGAAUGAAAACACACAAAGCAGUGCAGUCCUAUUACCCAGUUAAAGAUCAUUGGAACAAAUACACAAUGUCAUAUGUAAUAGAGUUGGAUGGCUUAUU